UACGUAGGGGGCAAGCGUUGUCCGGAAUCAUUGGGCGUAAAGCGCGUGUAGGCGGCUCGGUAAGUCUGCUGUGAAAGUCCAGGGCUCAACCCUGGGAUGCCGGUGGAUACUGUCGAGCUCGAGUCCGGAAGAGGCGAGUGGAAUUCCUGGUGUAGCGGUGAAAUGCGCAGAUAUCAGGAAGAACACCAAUGGCGAAAGCAGCUCUCUGGGACGGUACUGACGCUGAGACGCGAAAGCGUGGGGAGCGAACAGG
rnacentral:rRNA from 1 species